CUCAAGUAUACGAAGAAAGUUAUUAAAUAUAAGGGAAUCCUGUCGUUGGUUUUGCAUGUUGAAACCUGGUCCACGUAUUUGAUCUGAUACAAACGAAAUGGUCACUUUUAAGGAGGGGACCGGGGACAUGGAGCUGAAACGUGACAUGAUCCUAUCGUACCAGUUCCAUAUCAGCAUUUUCAUCUGGGUGGGAUAUCAGACCUCACGUUGAAAAAUAAAUGUAAUUAUGCAGAGGUACAUUCUGCUUCUAAUGACAAUGAGUGAAGUCGAUAUGUCAACGUAGACAUAAACAGAUAUGAAUGCACACGUGAUCACACACACACCAACUCACGACUCCCAAUUUAUGCCAAAUGUGUUGCUUUUAUUCAA